rnacentral:siRNA from 1 species
AUGUUCUGGGCCGCACGCGC